ensembl:lncRNA
GUGGAGAGGAGGGACGUGCGUUGACUGUAUUGUUGUGAGCUCGUUCAAAGCUAGCCCGAGGGGUAUUCAACAAAGCCGGUUUUAUAACAUAACCAGGUAAAUAACCCCAGGGUUUGCGGUAACCCUAGGUUUUCCGUUCCAAAAUGAACACGGUAUGUUAGUUACUAUAGAAACAUGCUCUGAAUCAAACCUGGUCGGAGCAGGUUUUGCGCAGGUUAAGUUUGGAACAUAACCCGGUUUUGGGUAUUUAAACCCGCGUUCGCCGCAGAUUGAAUGUGUUCACAAUGGCAUAUGCCCUUUUGAUGAGAGCCCUGUUGAUAUCGGAGCGCAAAUUCGUGCAAUCCACCGGGAGCGAUUAAUAAAAUCACGGCUCCACCUCUUGGCAUAUCCGGAUGACUUUUUGCUGGAGUCUCGAGAGAUAUAGAUUCUCGCGCGAAUCUUUAAUAUAUUUAAAUAGCCUUCUCCAGCCUUACGUAGCCAACACUACCAAUCGAUGACCUGGCCUCAUUUCACUCCAGACUAUUUGCGUAGCCCUUUUUUGCAAAUGGUAGUUUUCUCUAUAAUGUUGGAGAUGCUGAGCACAUUGGGAAAGCUACGGUGUGCCGAUCCGUGCGUAAAGUGCGUCUUGCACUGAAGUGGUUCAUGCGCUUCCCUGGACACAAACCCACGAGGGUCAUACAAAUGGAGUUCCACCAACUUGCAGGGCAUUCGAUGUGUAUCUCCUAUUGAUCGAGGGUAUCCAUGCCUCCCGACGCUCAUCACCCCGUACCCUAAUCCCGCUCCUGACCACAGACAACAUUUAACCUGGCACACAGCAGAACCCGCGUUAAGAUUGAAAAUACAUUCGGGAUAUUGAAGUCCAGAUACCAAUGCCUACGUCACGUGGACUAAGAGUUUGUCCGGAACGGGCAUGCGCAGUAAUUGUUGCAUGCGCCGUCCUCCACAAUAUCUCUGCGCAAAGAGAUGCCUCCCCCCUUUGACCCGUUCCUCGAGGAGGAACACAUUCCGCAAAUGGAUGUAAGAGCUGGACAAAUGAUGCGAGACCACAUUUGCAGAAAUCAUUUCAAUUUUAAAAAAAGAAAUAAACUCCCCAAACACUGUUUUCA